UAAAGUACCCCAGUUUGCACAUCACAUUUUAUGGUCAUGCUAUAUUUGGUGCAAUCUGAAUUAGGCUCAGAUGGACAAUCUGCAAUGGGUAUAGAAAAUCUAUAAAAUUCAAACAGUUGUGUUCCAAAAAUAAAGAUUUAUGUCAUAACCAUCCUCUACCAUACUACAUGCUAGAUAUUUAAUAAAUCUGAUUAAAAUAGAGUUAAUGAAUUCUCCAUUAGAAAAGAGUAAAUCCCUCUGAUUAGAUUAUCUUCUCCCCUAGGAAAAGAUUGUGGCCUCAUCUGGAAUCCAGAAAUAACUAAUAGGAAUACCAAGAAAACUUAGCCCAUCUUCUAAUGAAGAUUCAUGGCAAAAAUGGAUCAAGCGGCCUAGGAUUUGUUAGACAAGCAUAAUAAUGGAUAUAGAAGACAUCAACGCAGGCUAAAAUACAAUGCAAGAAGAUAAAACCGUAACAAUCUUCCCAACUGGAAGAAAAGAUAAUAGUUGUUUAUUUGAAAACAUGUAGGAAAUGAUUGCAGAAGUCUUGGCCAAAAUCUAAUCACUUAGGAAUAGCCUGCAAUCCAAGAUAUCCAACAAAAUUAUAGCUUUCAGAGACAAAGGUCAAGGAAUUAAGAAAUGGGAACAUUUGAAAACCACACUGAAGGUGAGGAAAUCUUGGCAGGCUCAACAACAUCAUUUUCCUUUGAGAAACAGCACCAGGGAUUGGAAAUCCCAAAUGACGUCUCAAGAUCAAAACACCCAUGAGAAAAUGAGCUCAUUUGUAAGUAAGUCCGUGAGAAUGGUAACAGACACAUUCCCCAUAUGUAAACAAUGGAUAAACAGGGCUCCAUUUUAAAGCCUUGUGCAAUUGCCAUGAGUAGUUUAGUCAAGAAAGAAAAACCAAGUACAAAAGUUUAAAGACAGAGACUAUCUCAGGACUUUUCCCCAUAACAAAGAGACAGUUUGCCAAGAGGUAAAGAAUGCUUUACCUCUUAGGAUGCUUUCAGUUAUGUAUAAAGGAAAAUUCAACACAAACUGACAAACAAGACAUUUUUUUGUCUCACUUAACUAGAAAAUUCAAAAGUAGAUAAGGUUUCAGAAUGGGGCAAACCAGCAAUCUAGUUAUGUUUUAUCAGGGACUCCAUUUCAUUCUGAAUAUGUACUCCACUGUCCAUGGUGUUGACUUCACAAUGAUUCCUUUCACUCACAUCUUAUGGCGGAUAAAAACGGGGCCUUUCCAUAUCUGAACUGGUCUGCUCCCAUGCCCAUCCAACAUAAGUUCUAAACUGUACGCUGACUGGAGCACUUCUCAUUCAUCCCUGUGGUCAGGGCAGCCAUGCUCUGAUGACUUAGGUCUGACUACCUGAACUCAUCACUGCAGCGAGAGACCUGACUUAGCUGAUAGACCUGGCCCACCCAAACCACACGGUUAACACGUAAUGGGGGAAGAGUGAAAUAGGUAUUAGAGAAAUAACUUACUAUGUGAGCAGAAAAAGAAUGUUGACUGUUCUGUACUUUCGUUGAUAUUAACUUAGUUUUUAGGUCUUUACAUUUCAAGUGAUUUUUUAUAUAAGAAAAUACACUGAAAUGUGAAAGUGAGCAAAUGAUGUUAUUUCAGAUUCAAAGAUCAAAAUUGCAUUAUAGAACAUAAGGAAGAAAAUGGUGCCAGGAAGGUGGUGAAUUUUACUUUCUUAGUGCAGCCACAAAAAGUAGGGGAAGUAGACUUAAAAAGAAUUGAUGUUAUAGGGUUGAUUGGAAUAUAUCCAGAUUUUACCCUAAAACUUUAGAUGAGAAGCUUUGAUAAAAUGGAAGCAGUACCAAAAGUGAAAAGGAAGGACUUCAGCCAUCCCACUGUUAAGAUAUAUACACACAGGAAUUAAUUACCUUAUAAAUAGGAUUUUUAAUAUACAGAUGUGUAAUGAGUUGAUGACCAUGAAAAGGUACAGCCUUAAGCAUAUUAUUGCUUAUCAUCUCUUCACCACUGAUUAUAGGAUUUUUAUCCAAAUCCAGAAGAAGCAUUACCAAAGUUUUUUUCAAAGUAGCUGAAAGUUUGUUCCCCUAAAGUUUUUUCAAAUAACUGAAAUGAUCCCAGAUGAAUGCAGGAGAUUUAAAUAAUAAUAAUGCCCUCACUUUGCUUUACUCGGACUUUAUAUUUAAUGAGAAAAUUAUGGUUUCAACUAUGAUCUCAAUGAAACUAAUAACUAAAAUGGUAUCUCCAGGGGUGCCUGGC
rnacentral:lncRNA from 1 species